CACUGAUCUAAGUCGUGAAUAAAGAAUUUGAGCAGCACUGGGCCUCGGACAGAACUUGCAUUCAUUUAGAGCGGCCAGGUUUUCCUGGUCUACCUCUUGACCUAGUUCAGGUUGUAUUUCUACUGUGACAUCAUCCGAUCCGUAUUGCUCAGGAUGAACAUCGAUCUUAGCUUUCCAAAACCUGGAUCCCUAGUGAUGCAUCUCUAAAGUUGGGAUUUCUUUUCUAUCGUAAGCUGUAUAUUUCCCGCUUCCUUGCAAUGAAUCCCUAUGAAUUUGGAGAGUGAUCUGUGGCUUGUUUUUCAUCCUUUGCCACGUAAAUAAUGGGUCGUCCGAUGCGAACGUGACUCCAGGUCAUUUCGGAACGAGUACAAAACCAUCUUUCCCAAAGGACAUUGAAGCGGAUGGAAGAGACGGGCGAGUGUCCCGUCCAAAAAGGUCAUCGCCCGAUUGUCCCAAAGGGAGAAGUGAAGAGGGCCGUGGUCAGUGUUAAUGAAUGGCCAGAGGCAGGGAGGGACUGGGAGGCUUGGUGCCUUUCCCAGAGAGAGAGAGUCUUGGGUUCGAGUCUGUCCGGAGCCUCCUUUCGUGCAGCCAUGAAGCUCCUGGUUGUGCUCUUGGCUUUGACUGCGGUCACAGGAGGCCAAGCCGUGACCAUCAGAGAAGCCCCCAGCUCAGAGCCCAAGUUAAGACCGUUGAUCGAUAAAAUAUCCUCAGUUGGGAUAAAUGGUUUUUUUGUCGUGACGAGGAUUUUCAUGAAAAUCACCGAAUCUGAGCCUAUCAGCAAACAGCUGGAGAAAAUCUCCGAAAACCUCCAGGAGCAAGAGAGAGAGCUUCCUCCUGAGAUGAGGGAAGUGAAGGAGAUCUUGUCCAAUCUCUUUAACACCUUCAAGGAGAAGGCUUUUCUGGAUUUUCACGAGUGGAACAGACACCAUUAUAAGGAAAAAGAAGGCGUCAUGGAGGCACUGGCGUUGUACGUCGACCCAGUGGCCUCCAAGGCGUCUUGGUGCGUGGAGUGGCUGGAGGAGAACGUCAAGCCCAUGGUGAUCGAAAUGUUCCAGCCAUUCGAGAGACACCUGGAUGAGGCGCUGGAGUCCCUAGGAAGCACACUGAUCAAGAAGCUGCAAGAAAUUGGGGAAAUCCUCCGGACCCCGUUGGAUGAAGCAGCCAAGCAGCUCCGUCUGGGGAUGGAGACCCUCAACAAGCACUUGAAUCCCUACUGGAUCCCAUUCCUGAAAGAGUACAAGAAGUACGAGCCAGCGCUCAGAGAGUGGCUGGAAGCACCGUUGUUCCCCCCUCCGAAAGAGGACUAACGCCCAAAAGGAAAAUCCUAGGGGAAACUGGCCAGGAAGUGACCAUCGGGUCAAGCAAUAUGGCUGUCUCUGCAUCACAAAAUAAAUUUUCCCAUUUAUUCCGGAGGUUUUAAUACCUGUCAAAGUUUAUGAAAUGUGCUGCACUAUUCUGUACGCGUUAUGUCAGUUCUUUCUAGCAAUUACGCUGUCCUAUCGUCCACCUGGCCAGAUGAAUAAAACUUCUGUUACUGCCUUAAAACCAAGUCAUGUUUCUCCAUGUUUCUACACUGCCCCCUGGUGGCAGAUAGGCUGAUUUUGACAACACGCAGGCUAAACAUCCCCAGCUCUUUAAGCUUCAAGAGUUCAGAAUGUUUAGCCUGCAUGUUACCGAAAACAGAGGGAUUCAUUGGAUCCUUUGAGUCGCUCUCCUCUGGACAUCUUCCAGCUUAGAGUCAAUAUUCCUCUUAACAUGUGGUGCCCAGAACUGCACACAGAGUUAUUCCAGGUAAGGUUUGACCAAAGCAGGACAGAAGGACGGCAUGAUGUCCAUUGAUCUAGACCAUGAUUCCCAAAGUGGGUGCUACCGCCCCCUAGUGGGUGCUGGAGGGCGGUGAUGGCACUUAUUAGGAUGAAGCAGCCAAGCAGCUCCGUCUGGGGAUGGAGACCCUCAACAAGCACUUGAAUCCCUACUGGAUCCCAUUCCUGAAAGAGUACAAGAAGUACGACCCAGCGCUCAGAGAGUGGCUGGAAGCACCGUUGUCCCCCCCUACGAAAGAAGACUGACCCCUAAAAAGGAAAUCCUAGGAGAAAGUGGCCAGUGGUAUGGAUGCCUCCCCAUUUUGGAAUACAUUUUCCAAUUUAUUUGGGAAGUUUGAAUAGCUGCCAGACUUUAUGAAGUGUGUGGCACCUUUCUAUAUGCGUUAUGUCAGUUUUUCCUAGCAAUCAUGCUGUUCUGUCAUCCACCUGGCCAGAUGAAUAAAACUUCUGUUACUGCCUUCAAACCCAGUCACGUUUCUCCAUUUUUCUACACUGCCCCCUGGUGGCAGAUAGAUGAUUUUGGCAACAUGCAGGCCCGGGCUGUGGCGCAGGCUGGUGAGCAGCCAGCCAGCUGCAGCCAGCUGUUACAAAUUACUCUGACCAAGAGGUCAUGAGUUCGAGGCCAGCUCGAAGCCUAUGUUUGUCUUGUCUUUGUUCUAUGUUAAAGGCAUUGAAUGUUUGCCUUAUAUGUGUAAUAUGAUCUGCCCUGAGUCCCCUCCAGGGUGAGAAGGGCGGAAUAUAAAUACUGUAAAUAAAUAAACAUCCCCAGCUCUUUAACUUUAAAGAUUUCCGGAUGUUUAGCAUGCAUUUUACCGAAAUCAGAGGGAUUCAUUGGAUCCUUUUAGUUGCUCUCCUCUAGACACCUUCCAGCUGAGAGUCAAUAUCCCUCUUAACUUGUGGUGCCCAGAACUGGACACAGUUUCUUGCUCAAUCUCAUCUUCUAAACAAGGUAAAAUAGUCCAUGCAGCUUCAUUUUGCCUACGGAGAGGCAAAAUGUGUCCUAACAGGGAGAAAGAAAAGCAGAAGUUAUAUCGUGGGCACCGCAUGGCCUUCCCAGGGCAGCUUAAACUUAAAAGUAAGUUCUCUCUCAGAAUCCCAUUGUUACGACAUCCAAGGGGGAGGAGACCUAGGCUAGCAGUAAAGACAGAGACAAAUAACAACAACAACAACAACAACAACAACAAGACUCUAUUUGUAUACCACUUCAUCUCCCCAGAAGGGACUCAGGUGGUUUCCAACAUGACAAAGCAUUCAAUAUCAAUACAAAAGAACAUAUGUCCAUUCUUUCUAGCAAUUACGCUGUUCUGUUGUCCACCUGGCCAGAUGAAUAAAACUUCUUUGACUGCCUUCAAACCUGGUCAUGUGUUUCCUGUCUUCUGACCUACCCUGCCCCCUGAUGGCAGAUAGCUGGUUUCAGUAACAUGCAGGCUAAAGAUCCUGAGCUCUUCAAGCUUAAAGAGUUCAUGACGCUUAGCCUGAAAGACUGAUCCCUACCAGGGAAAUCCUAGGCUAAUUUGCCCAGGAAGUGAGCACCGAACAAGCAGAAUGGCUGCCUAUGCAUCGCAGAAUAAAUAUUCCCAUUCCCCAAAGAUAGUCUGUUUCAGUCUGCUUUAUGGUGUGCCCGUUCGUCAUAUCCCCCUCUCCCACUAUUACUUUGAUUGUGAAGAUGUGGGGGAGGGUACAAGGAUGAAUCUAGAACAGGGACAUUUUUAACAUCUUACACAGACAUGGGCCAACUUCAGCCCUUCAGGUGUUUUGGACUUCAACUCCCACAAUUCCUAACAGCUUAAUAUUAAAGUCCAAAACACCCAGAGGUUAAGUUAGCCCAUGUUUGAUCUUAUAUCUUCAUCUUCUUCCAUUGCACCUUCAUUAUGGUUCUACUUGCACGAACCCCAGGCAUGGGUUCAAGGGAGGGCAUCACUAAUGGAGAAAGUAACUGUCCCAAAAUUUCUUUGUAAACUGUGAAUCAUUAAUCCUGGGCACUGGGUUCAGGUGCAUUUCAGAUAUUAGAUUCCUGGGAUCAUGGACACCUGAAUAUAAAGAAAAGCGGGUGGGAAAGGUUUACCCAACAAAGGAGGAGGGCAGGAUUUAUUGAUUAUUGUCUACCUUCUAAUUUGGCAAAUAUUGGAAAGUAUGUAACAAAAUUUGAAAAAAAAUGUAGGUCCCUUAUCUUGGUAUCUCCUCUCCAAAGGGCAGAAAGACAAGAGUGGGUCUUCUCCAAAGAAGGGCAGAACGAGUUGGUCAUCGCUUGUGACUUUAGAACCCAAAAUCAAGUCCAAUUAGUAAGUGUAGCUUCCUCCCACAGUCCCUCCCUUUAUAGGUAGCAUUCUUGCAGAGCCAGCCCUAGGUAAUUUUCAAGUGUAAGCAAGCAGUAUUUUUUGAGAGAAGCGGCAUUUCCCUCCCUUUUUGCAGCUGGAGUCUGGGCACCUGAAUGCGCCUCAACUGCGCCCCGUAGAGGAUGGUGCCUUCCGCAAAUGUGUAGUUUGCUUACCGCUUGAGCCGCCCCUGCGUUCUUGACACCUUCUCUCCAAAGAAGGGCACAACAAGAAGUCUGGGUCAUCCCAUGCACCUUUUGUUAUAUCCCAGACACCUUUGGGUUCUGAACCUGGUUCAGAAAUGAACUUUGACCAGGAUGAAGCUUAUUCUGACUUUUCACCCAGUUCUCCUCCGAGCUCCUUCCAAUUACAGACCCCAGCUGUGGAUAGCUCCAAGGCUUCCUUAAUUGGGAGAGAUACUGAAAACAUGACUCCCGUGGAAGAACCAGAUGUCCCAAGUUCCCCAGGGAAUGUAUCCUUUAACAGAAGGGAGUUUUUGCACCAACAGAGAUCACAGAAACAGGAACUUCGAAGGAGUAAAUGUUUGGCAUCUAGAGGGGAUACUGGAUAGAAGACUGCCUUGGGAAUCUUUGGGGAGUUGGUUUCCCUUUGCUGUGAUUAGAUCUAAGUUCUAUAAAAUGUAGCGACUUCUGAGAACACUUCACCGUUUCCAGUUCCCUGAUUUCACCAAGCCAAGUUUCCUGUUCCUGGUGGCCAUCAUGUCCUUGUCUUGUUCCUGAAUCCAGAUUGCUUUCAGCUUCGUCUUUUGCCUGCCUUGAUAUCGAAGACUUCCUAGUAACUUCGGACCUUGUUAUUCACUCCUGCUUUCUUGUUGUCUCCCUGCUCAAGAACUUCUCAACAGUUUUGAGCGUGUUUCGGUUUCUGGACUUUGGACAAUAAUAUUCAUAUCUAUUCAACUCUUUGGACUAAUUCAUACCAUUUCUUAAAGAACUAUUGCUCACUCAUCCUUUCC
rnacentral:lncRNA from 11 species